rnacentral:rRNA from 1 species
AUUGAACGCUGGCGGCAUGCUUUACACAUGCAAGUCGAACGGUAACAGGGUGCUUGCACCGCUGACGAGUGGCGAACGGGUGAGUAAUGCGUCGGAACGUGCCGAGUAGUGGGGGAUAACGCAGCGAAAGUUGUGCUAAUACCGCAUACGUACUGAGGUAGAAAGUGGGGGACCUUCGGGCCUCACGCUAUUCGAGCGGCCGACGUCUGAUUAGCUAGUAGGUGAGGUAAAGGCUCACCUAGGCGACGAUCAGUAGCGGGUCUGAGAGGAUGAUCCGCCACACUGGGACUGGGACACGGCCCAGACUCCUACGGGAGGCAGCAGUGGGGAAUUUUGGACAAUGGGCGAAAGCCUGAUCCAGCCAUGCCGCGUGCCUGAAGAAGGCCUUCGGGUUGUAAAGGACUUUUGUCGGGGAGGAAAUCCCCAGCGUUAAUACCGCUGGGGGAUGACAGUACCUGAAGAAUAAGCACCGGCUAACUACGUGCCAGCCGCCGCGGUAACAC